rnacentral:sRNA from 1 species
GCUGGGCACCGUGGCACAUGCCUGUAAUCCCAGCUGCUUAGGAAGCUAAGGCAGGAGGAUCGCAAGUUCAAAGCCAGCUUCAGCAAAAGCCAGGCACUAAGCAACUCAGCGAGACCCUGUCUCUA